AGAAGGGGAUAUCAAUGGGGAUGUGUUCUGUUUACCGAUGGGUGAUGUUAUUGAUUGUGUUCAUCGCCUCCAUUCUUGUUAUCAUCCAGUUUACUGAAGCUACUUCUUCAGAUAUGAAGAUGAGGAAACUGGGUAAUUUGCCAAGUUCACCUCCUGUACCCGUCGGAUCUCACAGUGUGCCUCCGGGAAAUGGCUAUUAACGCUAGUGAUUGAUGAUCAUUGAUGUGUGUGUGUGUGUGUGUAAAAGUCAGUAAAACUGAAUUAAAUUAGUAUCUACUGUUACAUUAUUACGCAAGUAAUAAUUUCUUUUUUAUCAUUAAAAAA